GAUAAACGCUGGCGGCGCACAUAAGACAUGCAAGUCGAACGGACUUAACCGAAGUAUUUAUAUUUUGGAGCGGUUAGUGGCGGACUGGUGAGUAACACGUAAGCAACCUGCCUAUUAGAGGGGAAUAACAGUGAGAAAUCAUUGCUAAUACCGCAUAUGCUGUGAGUAUCGCAUGAUACAAACAGGAAAGGAGCAAUCCGCUAAUAGAUGGGCUUGCGUCUGAUUAGAUAGUUGGUGGGGUAAAGGCCUACCAAGUCGACGAUCAGUAGCCGAACUGAGAGGUUGAACGGCCACAUUGGGACUGAGAUACGGCCCAG
rnacentral:rRNA from 1 species